GUCCUCGUCGUCUAGGGGCCCAGGACACCGCCCUUUCACGGCGGUAACACGGGUUCAAAUCCCGUCGAGGACG
rnacentral:tRNA from 2 species